rnacentral:rRNA from 1 species
UGUGUAGGCGGUUGCUUAAGUUUGGUGUGAAAUCUCUCGGCUCAACUGGGAGGGUGCGCCGAAUACUGAGUGACUCGAGUGCGGGAGAGGAAAGUGGAAUUCCUGGUGUAGCGGUGAAAUGCGUAGAUAUCAGGAGGAACACCGGUGGUGUAGACGGCUUUCUGGACCGUAACUGACGCUGAAACACGAAAGCGUGGGUAGCAAACAGGAUUAGAUACCCUGGUAGUCCACGCCCUAAACGAUGCACAUUUGGUGUGGGUCAUUCAGUUGAUCCGUGCCGGAGCUAACGCGUUAAAUGUGCCGCCUGGGGAGUACAGUCGCAAGGCUGAA